AGCGAACGCUGGCGGCAGGCCUAACACAUGCAAGUCGAACGAACCUUUCGGGGUUAGUGGCGGACGGGUGAGUAACACGUGGGAACGUGCCUUUAGGUUCGGAAUAACUCAGGGAAACUUGUGCUAAUACCGAAUGUGCCCUUCGGGGGAAAGAUUUAUCGCCUUUUGAGCGGCCCGCGUCUGAUUAGCUAGUUGGUUGAGGUAAUGGCUCACCAAGGCGACGAUCAGUAGCUGGUCUAAGAGGAUGAUCAGCCACAUUGGGACUGAGACACGGCGCAAACUGCUACGGGAGGCAGCGGUGGGGAGUCGUGCGCAAUGGGCUAAAGCCGGAGGCAGCGUGGUCGCGUGGGGGAGGAUGGCGUACGAGGUGUAAAGUGCUGUAGCUCGGAACAGGGCGCAAUGUUGGGUGUGUGAAGGGAAGGGGUAGAUAAGCGCCGGCUAACUACGUG
rnacentral:rRNA from 1 species